AGUAAACAUGUUUUUAGUAAACAUUGUCUUACAGCUGCCUACUCCCAGGCUGAUGGGGAAGUGGGUCUCUGCUCAAGGUCUGGUGUCCCCACUUGCAUGGGAUGCUCAAGGCCCGGUUCCGCCCUUAGUACUGUCUGUGUGAAGGAGACCUUGACGUCACCAAAAGACCCAGCUCAUCACCCAAAGUGUGCUGUUGUUAUUUCUCCUAGCUCCCCCCAGGGUUCAUGUGGGUUCUGGAGGAACCUUUUUGGGACUGGCUGAUUCCAGAUCUGAAGGGGCAUUGCAGAGCUUACAGAGAUCGGGAUCUGUGGUGGUGUGGGUCAGCAUUGUGUCUCUUGGCUCUGAACCUGUAUGCCAUUCUUUCACUUCCAGAAGGAAUAAAGAGAAUAAUACUUAGCAUUUGCAAGAAUCCCAUUUUGAUGCUAUGAGCUGAGGACUAGUUGGUGGGAGAGGCUGCCUGGAAGACAUUAGCACUGCUUCUGCCGAAGGAAAGAAAUAAUAACUACUUUCCUAUUCUCGGAGUUCUUGCCUUGCUGUUGGGCCUCAAUAGACCUUAAGCUACCAAGAUACCAUGCAACUCAAGCUGUCCAUCAUGAGCUGUUACCUGACACAGAGGUGUAAGUCCUGGUGGGGAAUUGCUGGGGAAUGUCCUUCUGUAUGCUGUGAAUAUAUAUGUUUCUAUUAUUGGUAGAUGAAUAAAGCUAUUUUGGCCAAUGGACAGGCAGGGUGUAGCCAGGCAGGAAGUAUGGGCGGGGCUGUCAGAAGAGAAUGCUGAGAAGAGGAAUGCAGAGAGUGAGUCGUGAACCAGACGACAUGUAGCUGCCAAGGAAGCAAGAGGCCUGAGCAUCACUGGUAAGCAAAGACCGUGUAGAGUUACACAGAUGAAUAGAAAUGGGUUAAUAAUUGAGAGAGCUAGACAAAUAAGAUGCCUGAGCCAUUGGCCAAAAAGUUUAUAAUUAA